CCGCGCCGGCCACACUCGGAGCCCCGAGCGGCCGGGACGGCGCCGCCUCCCCCGGGAUUGGCGGCCGGAGUAGCUAAUCGGAGGCCGGAGCCGACCACCUGUCGUCACUGGAGGAGGGACUACAGUAGGUGUGCAAUUUGCCAAAGGCCUUUACUGUCUUCCUGAUGCUUAAAUAGUGGAGAACAAAUUCCAUGUGCAGCCUGCAAAGCCCCCACCUACUUGUGCAAGUUUAGUUUACACAGCUGCUCUUCACACUUCAGGCGACCGUGGUCCACGUCCCUGUUCUGAAGACUCCAGCUGGGAAGGAUGACAUGCUGUUUCCUGCCCCUCCCUCCUUUAAAGGUCCUGUCUGUCCUCUCAGACCAGCGCAAGUCUCCUCCUGAAGGUCCCUGUCGCCCCAGGUAGCAGAGACCUCUGGCCUUGUUUUUGCCUUCAGCACGUCCAGUUUUUUGCGGCUCUCGGCAUGCACACAUUUUCCUGACCUUCCCCUGCUGCGACCAUCAGCCAGCGAGCGUUCUUCUUUGCUGCCUUCUCAGCCUAUCACACAAAGCAUCUUGCACGAGCACAUGGAUGAUCAUCCAUCUGGUUGGAUUUCACAUCCCAAGCUGGGGCCUAGAGAGGCCGGUCUUGGGAGAGGAGGAGAGGGAAAGGGGGGGAGGAGGAAGGGAGGGGUAGCGGAGGGACAAAUUCUGGAUAUUAGACCUUCCCCAGGUCACAAAACUAGGUCAGACAAAUUACUCUUUGAUACACAGUAAACUAAUAGAAGCAUCAGAUGGCUUUUCCCAUUUCAAUCUUUUUACAAAAGAAAGCCAACCUUAUAUAGGAAAAAACAAAACAAAACACUAAAAUGAUGAAGAUUUGCAAAGUUCCUUAGAGGGAAAGCAAUAAACGAAAACAAAUAAAAGACCAGCAAGAAAGCAUCAGGCGUCCAUAUUUCUUCCAGAUGAGCACUAAUUUUGGACUGGAUCCCAGACAACCCCCACACAUCAAAUUCCUUCUGCCUUCUGUGGGAGCUGAUGGUGCAUAUCAUAUGAAAAAUUGUCUCCAAACAGCCUUGGCAAACAAGCAGGCCGGACGGGGCUUAUUUUACAGGGCAUGCAGGACUUAAAUAAACAGAGCUAAAGUAACUUG